CUGCGCGAGCACAGGCGGGAGCACCCGGGGAGCCUGAAAGGGGCGGCGGACUGUACCACUGCGACAUGAAAGGGGGCGCAACACGGCUGCCGGGAGGGGCAGUGGGGGGAAUGAAGAGGGAGAUACCACUGCCGGUGGAGGGUGUUUCAAAAAGAUGGACCCAACUUGAAAUCACUGUAUCUCUGCAACCACAAACCGCCCAUGAAUGAAACUCUUACCGUUUGAAACGACAGGGCACAGAAUUUCAAAUGCCUCUCCCAGCACACAAACAGCCCCCAGCCUGAGUCUUUCCCAGGGUGGUGACCCUGCAACACAAGGCGUUUUGUGUUCUGCAAUUCAGCAAAACUGAAUCCGUAACUGCGGUGCAGCAUGCAUUCCAACGGUGUUUUGGUGUUGCCCCGCCAAUGCCAAAGAGUAUUCGUCGUUGGUACCGACAAUUUAAGGAAACUGGCUGUUUAUGUAAGGGGAAGAGCACAGGGCAACCACACACUUCAGAGGAGAAGAAACCACUACUGCUGUGCUCUGGUCACUUUGCAGCCCAGUCCACCUGCUGCCCCACAGACAUCUCUCAGCAUCCAGAACCAGCUCAAGUCAGUGUGGCUCCACAGGAACAUAAAGAUCCAUCAGCAGAGGAAACCCAAGCUCUCUUCCACUUCAGGACAAGCUGUCCACAUCGAAAGUGCAACAAUUAAAGCUGCCAACCGAUGGAGACAGCUUAGAAACUAUGCAUGAUUAUGACAGGUUUCACAAUGGCAAUCAAUGAAUAAUAAGUGGGGCAUUAUUUAUUGCUGCCCACUUGCGAUUCAGUGGUUCUGCCUCCCACAGAGCUCUUUACUCCCCAGGAAUUCCAUAAGCAGAUAAUGCUCUUACUUCACUUUAAGAAGAAAAAAAUAAGUAAAUAGGAUAUAUUAACAGUGUCUUUUGUAAGAAGGAUUACAAAACCCCUAUUCUAAACAGUUUGCUUACAGUAGAAAAAAUAGAGUUUUGCAGAAUGGGCUGUGAAUGUACUGCAAACACAAAAUAUAUAGUCUUCCUGCUCAGUGUAUAGCCUACCUUUUUUUUUUUUUUUACAUUUCUUUUGUACCUGUAACAAAUGAGUUAAAAAUACUUUAAAGCUGCUUUGUACUGCCUAUUUUGAGGAAAUAUGAGUAAAACUAGCUAUUGAAGAGUAUUUUUGCUGACCUUUGAUCUUUAUAUACUUACACAACACAAUCCAGCAAGUAUUUCUUUCUCAUUUUGUUUGAAAAGUUGAAGUCCGUUGCUCAUAAACUUAGUAUAUUUACAACUAA